rnacentral:rRNA from 1 species
UACGUAGGGGGCUAGCGUUGUCCGGAAUCAUUGGGCGUAAAGCGCGCGUAGGCGGCCCGGUAAGUCCGCUGUAAAAGUCAAAGGCUCAACCUUUGAAUGUCAGUGGAUACUGCCGGGCUAGAGUCCGGAAGAGGCGAGUGGGAACUCCUGGUGUAGCGGUGGAAUGCGCAGAUAUCAGGAGGAACACCGAUAGCGAAGGCAGCUCGCUGGGACGGUACUGACGCUGAGGUGCGAAAGCGUGGGGAGCGAACAGG